rnacentral:tRNA from 1 species
GGUCCGAUGGCCGAGCGGUUAGGCAAGGGUCUGCAAAACCCUGUACAGCAGUUCAAGUCUGCUUCGGACCU